GACGAACGCUGGCGGCGUGCCUAAUACAUGCAAGUCGAGCGCAGGAAACUGACGGAACUCUUCGGAGGGAAGGCAGCGGAAUGAGCGGCGGACGGGUGAGUAACACGUAAGGAACCUGCCUCAAGGAUUGGGAUAACUCCGAGAAAUCGGAGCUAAUACCGGAUAGUUCAUCGGACCGCAUGGUCCGUUGAUGAAAGGCGCUCCGGCGUCACCUUGAGAUGGCCUUGCGGUGCAUUAGCUAGUUGGUGGGGUAACGGCCCACCAAGGCGACGAUGCAUAGCCGACCUGAGAGGGUGAUCGGCCACACUGGGACUGAGACACGGCCCAGACUCCUACGGGAGGCAGCAGUAGGGAAUCUUCCACAAUGGACGAAAGUCUGAUGGAGCAACGCCGCGUGAGUGAUGAAGGUUUUCGGAUCGUAAAACUCUGUUGUAAGGGAAGAACACGUACGAGAGGGAAUGCUCGUACCUUGACGGUACCUUACGAGAAAGCCACGGCUAACUACGUGCCAGCAGCCGCCGUAAUAC
rnacentral:rRNA from 1 species